UAAAUGUCCUUUACGUAUCUCCAUUUGGUCUUUGUGUGUCUAAAUAUUGGCUACCAGUUCAAAAGACAGCAACCUAGUCUUCAGUGGAUUUUAGGAUAUAAUAAGGAAGAGGAACAAGUGCACUCCAUCAGUUAAGUUACUCUCCCUUUACCUUAAGACAUUGAAGCUGUUAGUAUCCCAUUGAACCUGAGAUAAAUAUAUAUAUUCCUUGCCUACUUACAGGAAGCCCGCCAAGAGGUUGUAUUUCUAUUUAGCAGAUGAGGAAAUGAGGCUCAGGGAGUAGAUACCGAGAGGAAUUUAUUACUCUUUGUAUUCCUCCUUCAGGUGAAGAGCAUGCCCACAUUGCAACAUACAUUCAUCCUGAUAGAUACUCAGCUAUGGGUGGUUAUGAUAUGACAAUUAAUGAAGUUUCAACCCUAAUCCCCCAAAUUUGAAGUUCAGAGAUACUAAUUGUCUAAGGACACAUGGCUCAUUCACAGGAACACUCAGUUUGUCAGAUAUCUAAUAUAAGGCAGAGCUUGGGCUUGAAUCCAUUUCUUCCCAGCCCAGCUAUGCUCACUAUGCCACGAUUAUCCCUUAUUAAGGGAAGGAGAGUCUGACUGAUUAGCAGGAGGGCAACAAGUGGCAGAGAGUGAACAUCACUGAGCUCUAACUGUUGGUACUUUAUUUAGAUACUUGUGAGUUCUCUCUUUUAAUUUUAUUUGUUUGUUUAUUUAGAAACACCAUGCUCUUUUUUUAAAAGACUUUAUUUAUUUAUUCAUUCAUUCAUUCAUUCAUUCAUUCAUGAGAGACCCACAGAGAGAGGCAGAGACACAGGCAGAGGGAGAAGCAGGCUCCAUGCAGAGAGUCCGAUGCGGGACUUGAUCCUGGGACUCCAGGACCACUCCCUGAGCCAAAGGCAGAUGCUCAACCACUGAGCCACCCAGGCAUCCCCUCUCUCUUAAUUUUAAAAAUCUGUCUUGUGGAAUCAACAUGAUCAUUUCCAUUUUAUCUUAGAUGAAGGAACUGAAGAUGUCAAGUAUUAUGUAACUUGUUCAGUGAGACCGCACCAUUAAAAGAAAGAGCCAGGAAUCUAUCCCAAUUCAGUUUGAUUCCAGAGACGUGUAGGUGUGCAUGCAUGCACCCGCAAGUAUACACACACCCGAGUUAUUAGAUCCAAACACGAAACAGUAUAUGGAUCAGUAGACAAUAAAUAUUGUAAGAGUACCAGAUUUCAAGUUGAUAAGAGAUUACCUCAUUACCCUCCAUGUCCCAGACUUGACCGCUGGAUUCAUAAGGUUCCUCAAAUUGUAACUGGAGCAAUUUCUGGAAAUGCUUUUGGAAGGCCACUUGCCUUUUCUGACUUAUCCAAAGAUCUUCUACAGCUGGCCUGGUACUCCCUACAACCAUUACAUUUAGAUAGUUGGGCAAGAAAAUUUUUUUUUUAAAGAUUUUAUUUAUUCAUGAGACACAGAGAGAGACAGAGAC
rnacentral:lncRNA from 1 species